UUUUCUCUCUCCUCUAUCCUCUCAAGUCGCAAGCAAACGUAAGGUCUUCAUUUUCUCCGGCGUAGUUCGGCGCGUCUGCGCGCGUCCGGCCGCCGGAGGUUUCCCUCUCCUCUCCUCUGGUUUUUGUCUUUGCUCUCCGGUCAUUUCCCCUCUUCUAUUGCUUUGUUCCGGUCUCUAGCUUGUCGCAUCUCCGUCGUUAGGGAAUCACGCGCAAGGUUUCGUCGACGG
rnacentral:lncRNA from 1 species